rnacentral:rRNA from 1 species
CCUACGGGGGGCAGCAGUGGGGAAUAUUGCACAAUGGGCGCAAGCCUGAUGCAGCCAUGCCGCGUGUGUGAAGAAGGCCUUCGGGUUGUAAAACACUUUCAGCGAGGAGGAAGGGUUCAGUGUUAAUAGCACUGUUCAUGCACGUUACUCGCAGAAGAAGCACCGGCUAACUCCGUGCCAGCAGCCGCGGUAAUACGGAGGGUGCAAGCGUUAAUCGGAAUUACUGGGCGUAAAGCGCACGCAGGCGGUUUGUUAAGUCAGAUGUGAAAUCCCCGCGCGUAACGUGGGAACUGCAUGUGAAACUGGGAAGCUAGAGUCUUGGAGAGGGGGGUAGAAUACCAGGUGUGGCGGUGAAAUGCGUAGAGAUCGGGAGGAAUACCGGUGGCGAAGGCGGCCCCCUGGACAAAGACUGACGCUCAGGUGCGAAAGCGUGGGGAGCAAACAGGAUUAGAUACACGUGUAGUC